rnacentral:rRNA from 1 species
UGUGUAUAAGAGACAGGCUGAAAGCAUCUAAGCAUGAAGCCCCCCUCAAGAUGAGAUUUCCCAUUCCGCAAGGAAGUAAGAUCCCUGAAAGAU